AACUUGUGUUAGCAGAGAUAGGUCCUCCCCAGGAGCUGGGGUUAGCAUUCCAGACUGCAUUGUUCUUUUCUCUGCUUGGCUUCCCCAUCUCUGUUUCCUCAGCCUAUUGACACUACUGCUCUCUAUUCAGGAUUUAUCUUCCUGUGCCACAGUUUGGAAAAUGCCCCCGGUGGAGUGGCAGGAUGAACGUCAUGAUAUCUGUCUGGGGCUUUUGGAUGAUUGCCUUUCACGUGAAAAGCAAAGUAUCUCAUGUCAUUUCUCUGAAAGCCAUGUUCACAUGGAUCUAGCAUUAUCUACUUGGAG
rnacentral:lncRNA from 1 species